rnacentral:rRNA from 1 species
GUGGGGAAUCUUGCGCAAUGGGCGAAAGCCUGACGCAGCCAUGCCGCGUGAAUGAUGAAGGUCUUAGGAUUGUAAAAUUCUUUCACCGGGGACGAUAAUGACGGUACCCGGAGAAGAAGCCCCGGCUAACUUCGUGCCAGCAGCCGCGGUAAUACGAAGGGGGCUAGCGUUGCUCGGAAUUACUGGGCGUAAAGGGCGCGUAGGCGGAUCGUUAAGUCAGGGGUGAAAUCCCAGAGCGCAACUCUGGAACUGUCCUUGAUACUGGCGAUCUUGAGUGUGAGAGAGGUAGGUGGAACUCCGAGUGUAGAGGUGAAAUUCGUAGAUAUUCGGAAGAACACCAGUGGCGAAGGCGACAUACUGGCUCAUUACUGACGCUGAGGCGCGAAAGCGUGGGGAGCAAACAGGAUUAGAAACCCUUGUAGUCC